rnacentral:rRNA from 1 species
CUACGGGAGGCAGCAGUGGGGAAUUUUGGACAAUGGGCGCAAGCCUGAUCCAGCAAUGCCGCGUGCAGGAAGAAGGCCUUCGGGUUGUAAACUGCUUUUGUACGGAACGAAACGGUCUGGGUUAAUACCCUGGGCUAAUGACGGUACCGUAAGAAUAAGCACCGGCUAACUACGUGCCAGCAGCCGCGGUAAUACGUAGGGUGCAAGCGUUAAUCGGAAUUACUGGGCGUAAAGCGUGCGCAGGCGGUUUUGUAAGACAGUCGUGAAAUCCCCGGGCUCAACCUGGGAAUUGCGAUUGUGACUGCAAAGCUGGAGUGCGGCAGAGGGGGAUGGAAUUCCGCGUGUAGCAGUGAAAUGCGUAGAUAUGCGGAGGAACACCGAUGGCGAAGGCAAUCCCCUGGGCCUGCACUGACGCUCAUGCACGAAAGCGUGGGGAGCAAACAGGAUUAGAUACCCUGGUAGUCCACGCCCUAAACGAUGUCAACUGGUUGUUGGGUCUCUUCUGACUCAGUAACGAAGCUAA